GUGCACGCUGGCGGUAGGCCUAACACAUGCAUGUCGAACGGCAGCACAGUAAGAGCUUGCUCUUACGGGUGGCGAGUGGCGGACGGGUGAGGAAUACAUCGGAAUCUACUUUUUCGUGGGGGAUAACGUAGGGAAACUUACGCUAAUACCGCAUACGACCUACGGGUGAAAGCAGGGGAUCUUCGGACCUUGCGCGAUUGAAUGAGCCGAUGUCGGAUUAGCUAGUUGGCGGGGUAAAGGCCCACCAAGGCGACGAUCCGUAGCUGGUCUGAGAGGAUGAUCAGCCACGCUGGAACUGAGACACGGUCCAGACUCCUACGGGAGGCAGCAGUGGGGAAUAUUGGACAAUGGGCGCAAGCCUGAUCCAGCCAUACCGCGUGGGUGAAGAAGGCCUUCGGGUUGUAAAGCCCUUUUGUUGGGAAAGAAAAGCAGCAGGUUAAUACCCCGCUGUUCUGACGGUACCCAAAGAAUAAGCACCGGCUAACUUCGUG
rnacentral:rRNA from 1 species